AGUUACGUAGUAUACGUGGCAUACGGCUCAGUAACACGUAGUCAACAUGCCCAGAGGACGUGGAUAACCUCGGGAAACUGAGGAUAAACCGCGAUAAGUCAUGAUUCCUGGAAUGGUUCAUGGCUGAAAUCUAUAUGGCCUUUGGAUUGGACUGCGGCCGAUCAGGCUGUUGGUGAGGUAAUGGCCCACCAAACCUGUUACCGGUACGGGCUCUGAGAGGAGGAGCCCGGAGAUGGGCACUGAGACAAGGGCCCAGGCCCUAUGGGGCGCAGCAGGCGCGAAACCUCUGCAAUAGGCGAAAGCUUGACAGGGUUACUCUGAGUGAUUUCCGUUAAGGAGAUCUUUUGACACCUCUAAAAAUGGUGUAGAAUAAGGGGCGGGCAAGUCUGGUGUCAGCCGCCGCGGUAAUACCAGCACCCCGAGUGGUCGGGACGAUUAUUGGGCCUAAAGCAUCCGUAGCCGGUCCUACAAGUCUUCCGUUAAAUCCACCUGCUCAACAGAUGGGCUGCGGAAGAUACUAUAGGGCUAGGAGGCGGGAGAGGCAAGCGGUACUCAGUGGGUAGGGGUAAAAUCCUCUGAUCCAUUGAAGACCACCAGUGGCGAAGGCGGCUUGCCAGAACGCGCUCGACGGUGAGGGAUGAAAGCUGGGGGAGCAACCGGAUUAGAUACCCGGGUUAGUCCCACCUG
rnacentral:rRNA from 1 species